rnacentral:rRNA from 1 species
CUACGGGGGGCUCCAGUGAGGAAUAUUGCACAAUGGAGGAAACUCUGAUGCAGCAACGCCGCGUGGAGGAUGACGCAUUUCGGUGUGUAAACUCCUUUUAUAUGUCAAGAAAAUGACGGUAGCAUAUGAAUAAGCACCGGCUAACUCCGUGCCAGCAGCCGCGGUAAUACGGAGGGUGCAAGCGUUACUCGGAAUCACUGGGCGUAAAGGACGCGUAGGCGGGAUAUCAAGUCAGGUGUGAAAUCCUACAGCUUAACUGUAGAACUGCACUUGAAACUGGUAACCUAGAGUAUGGGAGGGGGAGAUGGAAUUAGUGGUGUAGGGGUAAAAUCCGUAGAUAUCACCAGGAAUACCUAAAGCGAAGGCGAUCUCCUGGAACAUAACUGACGCUAAGGCGUGAAAGCGUGGGGAGCAAACAGGAUUAGAUACCCGUGUAGUC